rnacentral:rRNA from 1 species
UACGUAGGGUGCGAGCGUUAAUCGGAAUUACUGGGCGUAAAGCGUGCGCAGGCGGUUCGUUAAGUUCGUUGUGAAAGCCCCGGGCUCAACCUGGGAACUGCAAUGGAAACUGGCGGGCUUGAGUGUGGCAGAGGGGGGUGGAAUUCCGCGUGUAGCAGUGAAAUGCGUAGAGAUGCGGAGGAACGCCGGUGGCGAAGGCGGUUCUCUGGGCCUUACCUGACGCUGAGGAGCGAAAGCAUGGGGAGCAAACAGG